CAGGAGGCAAGGCACCUAUACGUCCCCCGGGGCCCCGACGGAGGUGCCCGAGAUCUUCCGGCUACAAAGCCGAGCAGUGGGGUUCCAUAACCGUGGUAGGCAAUAUACCUAAGAGAGCAAACUCCGAACAACAAACCCGGGCAGGUGAGGCUCGUUAGCCGUGGUAGGCAAUUCACCUAGGAGAGCAAACUCCGAAUAACAAACCCGGGCAGGUGAGGCUCGUUAGCCGUGGUAGGCAAUCCACCUAGGAGAGCAAACUCCGAACAACAAACCCGGGCAGGUGAGGCUCGUUAGCCGUGGUAGGCAGUUCACCUAGGAGAGCAAACUCCGAACAACAAACCCGGGCAGGUGAGGCUCGUUAGCCGUGGUAGGCAGUUCACCUAGGAGAGCAAACUCCGAACAACAAACCCGGGCAGGUGGAGCUCGUUAGCCGUGGUAGGCAGUUCACCUAGGAGAGCAAACUCCGAACAACAAACCCGGGCAGGUGAGGCUCGUUAGCCGUGGUAGGCAGUUCACCUAGGAGAGCAAACUCCGAACAACAAACCCGGGCAGGUGAGGCUCGUUAGCCGUGGUAGGCAAUUCACCUAGGAGAGCAAACUCCGAACAACAUACCCGGGCAGGUGGAGGUCGUUAGCCGUGGUAGGCAGUUCACCUAGGAGAGCAAACUCUAAACAAACCCGGGCAGGUGAGGCUCGUUAGCCGUGGUAGGCAGUUCACCUAGGAGAGCAAACUCCGAACAACAAACCCGGGCAGGUGGAGCUCGUUAGCCGUGGUAGGCAGUUCACCUAGGAGAGCAAACUCUAAACAAACCCGGGCAGGUGGAGCUCGUUAGCCGUGGUAGGCAGUUCACCUAGGAGAGCAAACUCUAAACAAACCCGGGCAGGUGGAGCUCGUUAGAUGUCGUAGACAAUCCACGUGAUGGGAACACCAGAGAAAAUGAAAAUGAAAAAGAACAUCAGAAAAAGGGAAAUAUAGAAACGAAACAUCGAGAAAAGAAAAAGCAAACACACAUCAUCCACUUUUCGGCCCACACUAACAUCGACAAAAUUAUGGGUGAGUCUCUUCUGGGGAGAAAAAGGCUCAUCCAGACCAAAGAACAUCAACAAAAGGAUGAUAGAGAAAAGAACAUCUAGAAAAUAUGGAAAAGAAAAAAGAACAGAAAAAACAUCGAAAAAGAAAAGUAACAGCAAUAAAAGAACAACAUCAAGAAAAGAGAAGUACAAAGAAACAUCAUCCACCUUUCGG